ensembl:lncRNA
GGUUGGAUCAGUGGUAGUGUGAUGGGACAGCCCUGUGAGUGUGAGGUUGGAUCAGUGGUAGUGUGAUGGGACAGCCCUGUGAGUGUGAGGUUGGAUCAGUGGUAGUGUGAUGGAACAGCCCUGUGAGUGUGAGGUUGGAUCAGUGGUAGUGUGAUGGGACAGCCCUGUGAGUGUGAGGUUGGAUCAGUGGUAGUGUGAUGGAACAGCCCUGUGUGUUCCUGCUGGUCUCGUCCAUGUGACUCUCUCUUCCUCUGGGCACAGCGCAGCCCCAAAACCCCUUCUCCUUAUGUCUGGAUGAGACAGCCCUCCACCACCUGCUGGAGUAGCAUUACUAAGACCACUGUCCUUAUACACAAAACAUUAAGGAUACCAUCC